UCUUCAUUCCAUACGCUAUCUCG
rnacentral:miRNA from 1 species